rnacentral:lncRNA from 1 species
AACGGCAAAAAUCCCAUUAUUUUUUAUGCAAGUCCAAAAUUGCCUAUCUUAAAUUAUCUAAAAAAGACUCUCAUGUGUGAGUAAGGUAGGUAGUUUGCAUCAGUCGCUUCUGCUUCUUUUUUCUUUUUUUCUUUCUUUUUUUUUUGUUAAUUGCUAUAAAUUUUAAUACGAGGAGCCCCUUCAUUUAGUGAGCAAGCACCACACUCAACUGACUCAACACUCCGAUACAAUAGGUGUACCAAUAAUUUUAGCAUUCAACCCGUGAUAUUUUGGCAUUUCAAAUGCGGCGCGAGUCUUCUUUUUUUUUUCAGACGCUGCCAAAAUAAUGUACCCCAGAAGGAUGUGAUGUGUCUUGGGUAGUUAUCUACCCAGGGGCAGAAUUUAAUUGCGCGAAAUGAAAGCGUGUAUGAACAAUUGCAGCAGAUUGCGGCGUCACAAAAUGGAGGGUGGAUAGGCAACCCGCAAUGUUAUUAAGCCACAGCUGAUAAGCUGAUAAUGCCCGUUGACUGCUGAGCUCCGUUGAUACUGCGCUCCGUGAACUUUGUUUGGAAAAUAUGGCGUCGAGCGAAAAAAUGUCAAGUUUGUGUGUCGAAAAUGUUAAUGUAAAUAAGGAUUUAAUCACGAAGCCAAGCACAAAAAUUUCUGUAACUUUCCCACCAUUACAGGAAUUUCUUGUCAUCGGUCGUUAACACGAUGUGCGUUUGAGACAGUAGUUGUUUAUUAUGAGCCAUUUCGAGUGGUCGGAUGAAAGUUCUAGUACAAUGGUUCAUCGCUUUCAUUCAGCAUAAUGAAUUUUUGGUUUACGAGUCUUGAAGUCACUCUCAAAGAUAACAGAAAGAAAUAUGCGGACAAAGUUCAAGCUCUCCUAUGGGCUUGGGAGCAAGUUACCAACUGCAUGAAUAAAGAUUUCUCUCUGGCGGUUUUUGAAUUUAUGCAUGGGCAAACUUUGUACCUUGUCCUGCGCGGAGACUGGCCGCGACUCGCUCCAGUCAUUCAGACUCAUCUUCUCGUCCUCCUUCAGAAGUGUCUGAAAUACUUGAAGGCCAAACAUGCCGACUCUAGUUCUAUAUCUCGUUGUAGCUCUCUCAUGAACCUUGUGUCUGAUCCUUGGGGUCAUGAUACUCUGUCCAAAUUAAUUCAUGGAGAAGAAACCACAGACAAGGAAGUAAUGGAAUACUGCCAGGCAGAGAAAGGAGAUCUCAUCAUGAUCAGGCUAGAACUUCUGAUCGUUUCCAAGUGUGAAGACAUGGCACUUAAUUUAGCUGGAGCUGCUGUGAGGUGGAUGCGGGUCCCCAAUUCAGGCUGUGAAACAAAUUCAACAAAUGAUCAAAGGAACUUUUUUCUCGACGUAUACCUAACAACUUUGUGUCGCUUCAAAAAAAAUCAAGAAAUUAUUUUAGAGUUAAAAAGCUUAGAUCUGGAACAAGGUUUGGAACUGAUUCGAAGGUAUGCCUCACCCAGUUGGCCAAGUAGCUAUAAUAGCUCUCUCUCAAGCAGCACCAGCUCGGCAAGGAUUUGGCGGCACGGUAACCGAGUAGCCGAAAUUGCGGUUAAUACAUUCCUGGCUUCCGCCAUGGUUCAACCCCCUAGUCUUCAUCUUGCCGACUUAGUUUUAGAAUGGGCUAUCAUUCAUGGCCCGAUGAUGAAAUCUUCUCCUCAAACUUUUUUUGAUAUGAUCAAAAAGUUUCUCAUGACUGCGCUCUCGGAGGAACAUGUCUACAUCUUCUCUGAAGUUCUCGUAAAGCAGUUUGGAGACAUCGUGAAGCCAAUUUGUAUUGAGUUCUGUAUCCGCUUUCUAAGUGCUGAAAUGAAUGAUCUGCUUCAGCUGAAGGUGAAACCAGAUGAAGAGAAACAGAGAGAGAUAGAAAUCAAGCUGUCCUCUGGGUUCUUGAAACUAGCAAAUUUGGUCGGGAGCAGCUACACAGACAUCUACCGCGAGUGUGUUCUAACUGGUUUCUCGUUAAAUCCAACGAGCAAUACUUUGGAUAUCAUCAAGUCUCUUGGUGGAAAGAACGAAAUACCUCCAUUAGAUAAGACUGAACAAAUUGUCGCUGAGAGUGAAUGCAAUCUCGAUAUACCAAGUAAACCAGACCAAACGGAUGACAACAUAGAACCAGAAAAAGACGGGACAAAUCGAAUGGAUAUGGAAUUAGUAGGUAAAUCAAAAGACAUUGGUAUUGCUGAUGAGAUCAGUGAAACCACUCAAGUCAGUCAGUUAGAUAUUCACAAUGAGCAUGAAUCCAGUCAUGUAGAUUCAAACGCAAACGACCCUAGUAAUAGGCUUUCGCCUGAAGGUACGAACACAUCAAAUUUUGAAAAGGAAGGCAAUGCUCUGGGCUUAACAAGGCAUCUAAUGGACGAUUUAUCAAUUGUUAUCAGAGGAUCUCGAUACCAAGCAUUGAAUUGGGACAAUGAAUGGACAGAGCUUAAAUGCCUGUGUGAGGAUUAUUUGAUAGAUUUUAGGAAAUUUCGUGAAACCAACAAAGAGUUAAAGUACUUAAAGAUUGAUUAUGACCAAUUCAAAGAUUGGCCUGUGGAUAAAGAAAAAGACAAGCACAACGGCAUUGAAAAAGGCUAUGAAAAGUGGAUCGAAGGGACUGACGACUCAGAUGAGUCCUUAUCGGAAAGUGCAUCUUGCUCUCAAAGUAUAGAUGACUCGGAUUUUGAAUCGUGCGAUUCAUUCAUCCUUAAAAAGGGGUUAAAAAGGAAGGAGGUGAGUAAACGGAGGUCGGACUCAGACUCGGAGUUUGAAAUAGGGAAAUACAGAAGUAAGAAAAAAAGAAAAAAAUGCAAGAAGAAAGUGAAAAUAAUUUCUGACUCUGAUAAUGGCACUCUAGACAGUGUAAAGAGCAUUUGCAGUGCCUCAAGGAAAAAUGCUUCAAAGAAGAAGAAAACCAAAAAUGCUAAGGAUAAUCGAAAGGAAACUUCACGUCCCAGAAAAGUAGGGAGGCCUCCAAAGAGAAUCCCAUCUCCAGCUGAUGAUUCCAUAAGCAAUGAAUUUAAGUUUAGUGACAAUGAAAAUGACAACAAUAACUCCAGGUUUAAGAAAAUUCAUGUUUCCGAAUCUUUUGACGAAAAUGAGAGCUUUCAUUCCAACUUACUCAAGAAUGAAAGCAAAAAACCUGUGUCUAGAACUCAUGUUUUGAAAACGCUAAGAACUUUUAGGAAAACGAAACCAGAUCUCAGGCAUUCAUCAAAAUUAGGCUUCAGGUAUUUCAGCGAUGUACCAGAAGAAGAAUACUCACUUUUGCAAGACAGUCCUACAAGAACUUUCGCACCUAACUCUAUAGCUAGUACAAUAAAUUUUAACAAUCCUAGUCUUUCAAGUAAGAUGGAAUUAAGUGACGGGUAUGAUGAUGACGAGCUCUCUGAUAAUUGUAAGUACACGUUCACCGAAGACGAGCCAUUAAACAGCAGCACCAAGCUAGAGCCUUUUACGAAAAUAGAUAAGAAUAGCAAAAUUAAAUUGGAUGGUUUUGAUUUCCCAAGGAGAAAUAAAAGUUCAAUUGAGAAUACUGUCUCAGAACUCAGCUCCAUUUCUAACUUAGUUCCCUCGGAGGUCAGAGCAACAGUGCAGGUCGUGCAGGUUACGAAUCAUACUUCCGGCACAGCAAAUCCUACAUUGCUCUCCCGUCAGCAAUCAUCUUCCGAUAAACCUCCACAGACAUCUUCCACCUCAGCUCAAAACUCAGCUGCUCAAUCGAAUACAUACGCUAGCCCAGUCAUCUCUCAAACUAGCACGAUUAGUGCCACCAAAAUUCAUGACCCAUCGACAUCAAACACAGAGUCGCAACCAACCCUCCAAUUAUUCAACUCUAUUCCGAAUAACAUAAGCGCAUUGAUCGAGUGCUCAGAAACGCAGAAUACAUCAGAAACAAUCACUUUGCAGCGAGCAGAGCCUGUUACCAUGUCGCCAAUCUUGAGAGUCCCUGUGCAAACACCAAAUGCCCUUAUUAUUCAAAGCCAGGCGGUUGAUCAUUCAAACAAACCAGCAACAAGCUCCAACACGGCCAGUGUUGUUAAACCGGCAAGAAGCAGUGCAUUUGUCUUCGUGGCCAGCAGUGACUCUACCAGCUCAAUAGCUCGAACGAGCGCCGUUUCCCAGCAACAAGUUCAACAGACCCUUAUAAGUUUAGCGAAUUCCUCUUUUGUCGGAACGAACAAUGACAAUAAUACAGCAACGUUAUUCAAAGCAGAUGACGGGAGGAAAAACGAAAAUGUUGUUCAGCUGACUGUUUCCAGAGACUCGCGACUUCUGUGGGCGCAGCAAAUAGGUAAUAUUAAAAGGAGUGAAUCCGCAGGUCAGACAGUCAACGUUGUUAUCAGUCAGUCAGGCAACUUCGCCAAUCCUAGAGUGGUGGAAACUAAAGAUGCCAAUCUUGAAGCACAAAAAGCCAGCUCAAGUCAGCCAGCAGUCUUAAGACUGGAGUCAGCUCCGAAUAUCAUUAAAACAAGAUCUCC